GGAGUACUCCCUCCGUCCCGAAAUACUUGUCGGAGGAAUGAAUAUAUCUAGACGUAUUUUAGUUUUAGAUACAUCUAUUUUUAUGCAUUUCUCCGACGACUAUUUCCGGACGGAGGGAGUAUGUC
rfam:Triticum aestivum genome assembly, contig: Triticum_aestivum_CS42_TGACv1_scaffold_129319_2BL